rnacentral:misc_RNA from 1 species
GAUGAAGAACGCAGCGAAAUGCGAUAAGUAAUGCGAAUUGCAGAAUUCCAGUGAAUCAUCGAAUCUUUGAACGCACAUUGCGCCCCUUGGUAUUCCGAGGGGCAUGCCUAUUCGAGCGUCAUUAUCACCCCUCAAGCCUAGCUUGGUGUUGAGGCCUGCUGUUAAGGCAGCCUCUAAAAUCAGUAGCCGUGCUGUCAGGCUCUAAGCGUAGUAAUUUCAUCGCUAUAGACACCUGGUGGAUACUCGCCAGAACCCCCCCAUUUUUUAAUGAUUGACCUCGGAUUAGGUAGGGAUACCCGCUGAACUUAAGCAUAUCAAUAAGCGGAGGA